rnacentral:rRNA from 1 species
AGCGAACGCUGGCGGCAGGCCUAACACAUGCAAGUCGAACGAACCUUUCGGGGUUAGUGGCGGACGGGUGAGUAACACGUGGGAACGUGCCUUUAGGUUCGGAAUAACUCAGGGAAACUUGUGCUAAUACCGAAUGUGCCCUGCGGGGGAAAGAUUUAUCGCCUUUAGAGCGGCCCGCGUCUGAUUAGCUAGUUGGUUGAGGUAAUGGCUCACCAAGGCGACGAUCAGUAGCUGGUCUGAGAGGAUGAUCAGCAACAUUGGUACUGAGACACGGCCCAAGCUCCUACGGGAGGCAGCAGUGGGGAAUCUUGCGCAAUGCGCGAAAGCCUGACGCAGCCAUGCCGCGUGAAUGAUGAAGGUCUUAGGAUUGUAACAUUCUUUCACCGGGGACGAUAAUGACGGUACCCGGAGAAGAAGCCACGGCUAACUUCGUG